rnacentral:rRNA from 1 species
CACACCCGUUCCCAUCCCGAACACGGAAGUUAAGCUUCUCAGCGCCGAUGGUAGUUGGGGGUUUCCCCCUGUGAGAGUAGGACGUUGCCGGGC